rnacentral:rRNA from 1 species
GAUGAACGCUGGCGGCGUGCCUAAUACAUGCAAGUAGAACGCCGAAGCUUGGUGCCUGCACCGAGCGGAUGAGUUGCGAACGGGUGAGUAACGCGUAGGUAACCUGCCUCUUAGCGGGGGAUAACUAUUGGAAACGAUAGCUAAUACCGCAUAAAAGUCGAUAUCGCAUGAUAUUGAUUUGAAAGGUGCAAAUGCAUCACUAAGAGAUGGACCUGCGUUGUAUUAGCUAGUUGGUGAGGUAACGGCUCACCAAGGCGACGAUACAUAGCCGACCUGAGAGGGUGAUCGGCCACACUGGGACUGAGACACGGCCCAGACUCCUACGGGAGGCAGCAGUAGGGAAUCUUCGGCAAUGGGGGCAACCCUGACCGAGCAACGCCGCGUGAGUGAAGAAGGUUUUCGGAUCGUAAAGCUCUGUUGUAAGAGAAGAACGAGUGUGAGAGUGGAAAGUUCACACUGUGACGGUAACUUACCAGAAAGGGACGGCUAACUACGUG